UUGAACGCUGGCGGCAGGCCUAACACAUGCAAGUCGAGCGCGAAAGGUUUUCGGACUGAGUAAAGCGGCGGACGGGUGAGUAACGCGUGGGAAUCUGCCCAGUAGUGGGGGACAACAGUCGGAAACGACUGCUAAUACCGCAUACGCCCUACGGGGGAAAGGGGGGGAUCUUCGGACCUCUCGCUAUUGGAUGAGCCCGCGUCGGAUUAGCUAGUUGGUAGGGUACAGGCUUACCAAGGCUACGAUCCGUAACUGGUCUGAGAGGAUGAUCAGUCACACUGGAACUGAGACACGGUGCAGACUCCUACUGGAGGCAGCAGUGGGGAAUAUUGGGCAAUGGGGGCAACCCUGAUUCAGCCAUGCCGCGUGUGUGAAGAAGGCCUUAGGGUUGUAAAGCACUUUCAGUGGGGAGAAAGGUUUGUCACCUAAUACGUGAUGAAAUUGAUGUUACCCACAGAAGAAGCACCGGCUAACUCCGUGCCAGCAGCCGCAGUAA
rnacentral:rRNA from 1 species